AUUUUAUUAAAUAGUCAUUUAAGACCCCUUUUCUUCUAUUUCUUUUCCCCAAACGCAGCCCCCAUUUUAGAUCAAAAGAAAUUCCAGCCUUUAAAAUCAAAUUUUUUAGGGUUUCCUCCACUUGACUGCCAAACCACCAUGAUUUUAGGUGAUUACCAGUAAGCGAGACGUGCCCAAUCUUUCCGUUAAAGGAACUCGACCAGAUCUAAAAGGAUUCGGUAAGUAUUUUCCCUUCUUUCUUCUUUAUUUGAAUGAAGCUUUCAAAUCUCAUGUUAUUUUUUAAAGAAAAAAAUAAAAAUAAAAAUAAAAAUAGAUUUGUAAAAUGAAUAGAUUUCCACUAUUAUGUGACCUCUCGCCCUUAUACUCGCAUGACAGAUUUAGGGCUUUCAUCGGCCUUUAGUUGCAUAAAAAGGAACAAACAAAUAAGAAAAUAAAGAGAAAAGAAAAAACGGGAAAAAAAGAUCAGAAGAGAAAAAAAAAUGAAAUUACCUCUAUUGAUCUAAAUGCACAUUUCUCUCUUUUCUGUACGUGUGUACAGAUAUUGUAUGCGUAGAGUAUAUUCUGUGUGCGUAGUGUGUGUAAUCUCCUCCCUUUACAAAGAUUAAAAGUUGGGCUUUUAUAAUCGAAAAAGGAAAUCAACCGAAAAUAUACAAUAUAUUUGUUUCCAUUCGCUGCUGUUUUUGUUUCUUUCUUGCAGGUACAGAGUCUGUUGGCAUGCGCACGGGGUGGGGGCGUGGCGUACGAGGGCUGUGGAGGUAUGGGACUGCUGUAGUGGAGGUAUGGGUCUAUUGCCCAGUUGCUGUUGAGGCGCAGGAUAGAGGGGUGACUUAGGGUUUGCCGAAACUUGGCUCAAUUUUUGGGGCCAUUUGGGUCUGUUCCAGCUAUUGGGCCGUUGUAUUUGGGCUGGGCUAUGGGGCAUUGGGUAUCAAUAUUGGUUGUAAUAUUUGGACCUUUAUGACAGAUUAUUAGUUUGGUUUCAUUCUUUGGACUUUUGGUUUAAUAAUUUGGUAUUUAUUUUGGGUUUUGGUUCUAACGUGGGCCCGGGCUAAAUUGGCCCAUUAUAGGGAUAUCAAGAAAGGUUCCCACGAGGAUGCUUGUGUAGAGAGCUUAGAAAGAUAAAGGAGAGUUCCCUUUCUCCCAGUAAGUAGGGACAUAUAUAAAUGUUCUCAGACAAGUGUCUUUAUGCCAGCAUUCGCGAUAUGAGUCAUGUGGUUCUGUCGACCCAUGUCCUAAGAUUUGCUUCCUAACCCAUGUGUGACCUCAUAAAGCCUUCUAAGUUUGCAAGAUGAUGGGUCAGUAUACUUUUCAAGUGGUGGACAGUAGUACAUUGCGGGGCUCCUAUCAUUAGUGAGGUGAUGAAUCUUUGUAGUGUAGACAUCUAGCACGAUUUCAUUGAAGUGAGGUAGAGUGGAUUUUAGGCAUAUAAUAAUC
rnacentral:lncRNA from 1 species